rnacentral:rRNA from 1 species
UACAGAGGAGCCAAGCGUUGCUCGGAAUUACUGGGCGUAAAGGGCGCGUAGGCGGCACUGUUAGUCAGGCGUGAAAGUCCUGGGCUCAACCUGGGAACUGCGCUUGAUACGGCAGAGCUAGAGGAUGGAAGAGGCUCGCGGAAUUCCCAGUGUAGAGGUGAAAUUCGUAGAUAUCGGGAGGAACAUCUGUGGCGAAGGCGACACCCUGGACCAGCACUGACACUGAGGCACGAAAGCGUGGGGAGCAAACAGG